GGAGGGGCCAUGACUCAGUGGUAGAGCAUCUGCUUGGCAUACAGAGGGUCACAGGUUCAAGCCCCAGCAUCUCCA
rnacentral:tRNA from 1 species